rnacentral:rRNA from 1 species
UACAGAGGGGGCAAGCGUUGUUCGGAAUUACUGGGCGUAAAGGGCGCGUAGGCGGCCUUCUAAGUCGAACGUGAAAUCCCCGGGCUCAACCCGGGAACUGCGUCCGAUACUGGGAGGCUUGAAUCCGGGAGAGGGAUGUGGAAUUCCAGGUGUAGCGGUGAAAUGCGUAGAUAUCUGGAGGAACACCGAUGGCGAAGGCAGGUCUCUGGGCCGAUACUGACGCUGAGGAGCGAAAGCGUGGGGAGCGAACAGG